AUUCCAGCUCCAAUAGCGUAUAUUAAUGUUGUUGCAGUUAAAAAGCUCGUAGUUGGAUUUCUGGUGGGAGUGGCCGGUCCGCCGUAAGGUGUGUACUUGGUUGUCUCCCGUCAUCCUUGUGGGAACUGCUCUGGCAUUAAGUUGUCGGGGUUAGGGAACACAUCGUUUACUGUGAAAAAAUUAGAGUGCUCAAAGCAGGCUAUUACGCCUGAAUAUUCGUGCAUGGAAUAAUAGAAUAGGAAGUCGUUUCUAUUUUGUUGGUUUUCGUAAAUCGACUUAAUGAUUAAUAGGGACAGUCGGGGGCAUUUGUAUUCAAACGACAGAGGUGAAAUUCUUGGACCGUUUGAAGACAAACUACUGCGAAAGCAUUUGCCAAGAAUGUUUUCAUUG
rnacentral:rRNA from 1 species